rfam:Picea glauca, whole genome shotgun sequence.
AGACAUGACACAGUUGUAAAUCACUAACCAACACUGGAAACACUAAUGCACUAACAUAACAAUGUGUCGACGCAUAAU